AGGACCAACGCUGGCGGCGUGUAUUAGGCAUGCAAGUCGAGCGCGAACCCACCUUCGGGUGGGGUAAAGCGGCGGACGGGUGAGUAACACGUGGGAAACCUGCCCUGCAGUGGGGAAUAACGUGCCGAAAGGCACGCUAAUACCGCAUACGACUCCCGGUGAGAAUCCGGGUAGUGAAAGUUCCGGCGCUGCAGGAGGGGCCCGCGGUCGAUUAGCUUGUUGGUGGGGUAAUGGCCUACCAAGGCGACGAUCGAUAGCUGGUCUGAGAGGAUGGUCAGCCACAUGGGGGACUGAGACACGGCCCCCAACUCCUACGGGAGGCAGCAGCUAAGAAUCUUGCGCAAUGGGCGAAAGCCUGACGCAGCAACGCCGCGUGGGGAAGAAGGUCUUCGGAUUGUAAACCCUUUUGCGAGGGAAGAAGUUCUGACGGUACCUCGCGAAUAAGCCACGGCUAACUACGUGCCAGCAGCCGC
rnacentral:rRNA from 1 species